CCUACGGGCGGCUGCAGUGGGGAAUAUUGCUCAAUGGGGGAAACCCUGAUGCAGCGACGCCGCGUGAGUGAAGACGUACUUCGUUAUGUAAAGCUCUAUCUGCAGGGAAGAAAAUGACGGUACCUGAGUAAGAAGCCCCGGCUAACUACGUGCCAGCAGCCGCGGUAAUACGUAGGGGGCAAGCGUUAUCCGGAUUUACUGGGUGUAAAGGGGGCGUAGACGGCAGUGCAAGUCUGGAGUGAAAGGCGGGGGCUCAACCCCCGUACUGCUCUGGAAACUGUACUGCUGGAGUGCAGGAGAGGUAAGUGGAAUUCCUGGUGUAGCGGUGAAAUGCGUAGAUAUUAGGAAGAACACCAGUUGCGAAGGCAGCUUACUGGACUGUAACUGACGUUGAGGCACGAAAGCGUGGGGAGCAAACAGGAUUAGAUACCCCAGUAGUC
rnacentral:rRNA from 1 species